rnacentral:rRNA from 1 species
UACAGAGGUCCCAAGCGUUGUUCGGAUUCAUUGGGCGUAAAGGGUGCGUAGGCGGCGCGGUAAGUCGGGUGUGAAAUCUCGGAGCUUAACUCCGAAACUGCAUUCGAUACUGCCGUGCUUGAGGACUGGAGAGGAGACUGGAAUUUACGGUGUAGCGGUGAAAUGCGUAGAUAUCGUAAGGAAGACCAGUGGCGAAGGCGGGUCUCAGGACAGUUCCUGACGCUGAGGCACGAAGGCCAGGGGAGCAAACGGG